CCCCAUACGGUACAGUACAGUCCCUAUACGGUACAGUCCCCAUACAGUACAGUACAGUCCCCAUACAGUACAGUACAGUCCCCAUACGGUACAGUCCCCAUACGGUACAACCCCCUCUGUCAGUGAUAUUACUAUAACAUACAGAUAGGUUACUAGCUACCCUCUGUCAGGGAUAUUACUAUAACAUACAGAUAGGGUACUAGCUACCCUCUGUCAGUGAUAUUACUAUAACAUACAGAUAGGUUACUAGCUACCCUCUGUCAGGGAUAUUACUAUAACAUACAGAUAGGUUACUAGCUACCCUCUGUCAGGGAUAUUACUAUAACAUACAGAUAGCUUUAUCCCUUCAGGUAUAUAACCUUCAAUCAAAGUUUCUCUUGUUUUCUCCCCGCAAGAAAUGGACACAAUAUUUCUUCCACAGUAACGUUAGCCACUACAGCUCCCAAAAGCGAAAGCCGCGGUUAAACAUAAAUUCAGAUGAUAAAACGUGAAAAACUCAGUUUGCUAUUCAGUCAAUAUGAUCGAUAAUAACAAAUAAAAUAUUCUAAAGAUUCCAAGAAUUUGAUGAAGACAAUCGGUUCUUUAACAAGCGCAAAAUCUACUCGGAGUUGGGGCAUCAUUACCCUUCCAGCUGCUGCUA
rnacentral:lncRNA from 1 species